GCGGCGCGGUUGCUGGGGAGUCCGGAGGCGGCGCUGACAGGACGGCGCGCGGAGGCGCUGCGGGCCGUGGGCGGCCGCCGCCCGGCCCGGCCCGGCCGUGGCGGCUGCGGGUCGGGACGGCUCGCUCCCGGUCUGAGGCCGGCCGCCGGCCGCCGAGGGAGAAGCAGAAGUUUUAACCAUCUUUCCUUGGCAUCUGACUUUUUUGCGAAGGAGAAUGCACUGAAGAGCAGAAGUAGUGAGGUCCGUGAUGGGAAGGUGAAUCCAGCAGUCCAUCCCAUGUUCUAUCCACCUGAGUACGGGAAGAGACCUCAUACAAAGCUGGAAUGCAUGUGGGCUUGCAGCUCUUUUAAACCACUUUAAGUCCUAUUCAGAGUUAAUGAUGAGCUCAGUGAGACUGCUCUAAGCAAUGCUGAAGAAGGAAAGAACAGAGUUGGAAGGCAGGAGCUCUUUCAAAGCAGGAUUCUUCUUCUUUUUGUAACACCCAAACAUGAAGACUUUAUAAACUUCAUGAGAUCCUGCCAUCAAUGACUGAGCCUCCCUGAAAUCUUAUCAGUUACCGCUGAGAUGAGAAGGAUAACAGGAAGGAGGAGUGCUUAAGUGGGUUUAACGACAGUAAAUUUCAUCUAUUUAUCAAAUGACAGGUUGUUUUUUCCUCAAAACUCGAUUGUCGUGACAAGAUGCUUUUGGAAGUCAUCUUUGUAAAAUAAAACUGACAAUUUUUAGGCUACAAAGAGCUAUUGUAUCUUUCUAUACAAUGUUGUCAUUAUGGUAAACUGCUAGAAAGUCUUUAUUUUUGAAGUAAUUUAACUUGCAUACUUCAUUCAUUUAUUUGAAUGUCUGUUGAAUGCCAUGUGAAAAGUUUCUUGCCAGAGUUCUUUUAUUCAAUGGAACAGUUAUUCUUACAAUGCUCAAUUUAUUAUUGUCUAAAUUACUGUUGCCUUAGCCCCUUGCAAAAAUGUUUCUUUUUAGUAAUCCUUAAACAAAUAAGGAAUGAAUGAGGUUUUGUCCUCUCUGUGUUUUGAUCGGCGUAUUUUUCCUUUCAGUGAAAGCGUCUUCAGUUUUCAGAAUGACACUAUUACAAAGAAAGGUGCUUUGCUUUUUUUUUUUUUUUUCCCAAUAGAAAAUGUCUUUUGUGCAGUGAUUUUUUAAAUAUGUACACUGCCAAGAUGCAAUUACUGGAAGGAGAGACAGAAGCUGUUGGGAAUGUCAUGUUAUGCCAAAUUAAGAAUUAUUAGCUCUUACUUUCUCUCCAAUCUCUUUGACUAGAACUCGACCUACUGCAUCUGGCUUAUACUUUGACUCUAGUGGAACUAAUGUGUCCUUGGAGUAGCAUUUUAGAGUAACUUCAGAUUCAUGUUUUUUUCACAAGUCUGCUUUAAACUGCUGGGAUUAACUUCAGAGAAGGCAACAGAUACAGCCUCCUUUGUCAGCAGCUGUGCUGGUUAAAGAAGGCAGCUUCAUGCACGCUUGCUUGCUCACUCUCUCCCAGAGGCUAUUGCCCCUGCUAGGGAAGCAAACUGAACUGUUUCCCUGAGCACACCCAGGCUGAUUUCAGCCAGAGUUAAUCAUGUUAUCAAAUAUUAGUUAACUAGCACCCUGGGUCAUUUUGAGGAACGGGCGGGGGAUGCUUAGACCAGCUCUACGGCCGGUGUGGUCUGGGAGAGGUGCUGUGUUGACAAGAGGGUUGCUGAGGAGCUGGUGGUGGCACAGUCUUUUCAGCAGGUGCAGUUGACACCUUUAAGGUAUGGUAAAAACUGGACAUGUUAGGAAGCUGUGUAGUUCUGUCGUGUAUAAUAUUCACAGUUCAGAGACCUACUGGAUAAUAUAAAAUAAACCUGUGCUCUUUGACUUCUUGUGCGUGCCAGUCUGAGUGGAGAGAGACGGUGUGAGUGUGCGUAUGUGACAGGACACCUAUUUCAGGAAGGUGUAUCUGGUCCAUGGUACAAAUGUUUCCAUUAUCUGGAGAACACACUGUUGUGCUUUACUCAUCAAAGAGGCUGCCUCAGCCAACACAUGCCUCGAGAGAUAGGUUUUUGACACGUGGUGCUCUGAGCUGCCUCCCCAAAGAGGGGGGAACACCUCCAGCAGGAGAGGCCACCCUGUCCACUGCAGCCUCGCUGGCGUUGCAUGAGUAGAUGCUGGAGUCUGGUGAGGCAUCCAAGCUCUCAAUGCUCCCUGUGCCGAAAUCAGAACGGUACGGCUGAUCUCUAUUACUGGAAGGCAUACUGAGCAAAACCAGUGCACUAAACAGCUCCUUCAACACUGACCCUCUUGCGAGAAGGCUGGGGAGUGUAGUUGCCAUCCCGCAGCUGGCUUGAGUGUACAAAGAACAAGAGGCUUUCUGAUCCAUCCGAAACCUGAGCGCAGCAGCGCUGCUUGUGUCUCCUCUUGGGGCACUGCUGGAUGAAAAGAACUCGGUUCAGUCACAAAAAGGACUGAACCUCCAGCUCCCCUGACAUUGCAUGCUGUAUCUUUUAGCUGGCCCUGUGCUAAAGAAUGAGGAAGCGUGCACCGGCCUCUCUUACGUGCCAUAUGUAAGGGAGGAAAAUAACUUACUCUGUCUGCAAAGAAAUUGGUGUGUAAGGGGAAGGUGCUGCUUUGCAGGCAAAGACCUGCCUCCCCUGGCUGCUUUAUCCUCAGCAGCGUGACCUUAUCACAGUGCUCUCAGACCGAAGCCCGCAUCUGCUGCUCCCUGAACCAUCGGUCUGAAAAAUAGGGACAUGAAGAGAUGAGGCACGGCAGGUCUUAGGCUUCUAAAGAGAUUUGGGAAUGCACAUAACCUAAGAGGUUGCUAAUGUUUUAAAAUUAUAUGUAAAAAAGAAGUAGCUAUGAUAUGACAGUGUGUGAAACCUAUUGCUUUUCUACCAGGUUUUGAGUUAACUUGGCUCUGCACUGCUGUAUGUUGAGAAAGUGUUGGACUUCACUUGAACUCUUCCUUACCCUUGUUAGCCUGUACUUGCAGCGCGCUGCUUGGUGCGUGCAUAGAUUAAGGAGGCAAAGCGCCAACCACAUCGUUUCCAAAAUCCCCAGCUUGCCCCCGAUCCGGUCUCUGCAACUCUGUGGUGAAGGCGGGUGCGGCUCCGGGUGCGAGGGCCGUGCCCUGGGCCGAGCACCGGAGCGAUGCCCCGCCACCGAGGGGCUGUGAGAUGCCUCCCCUGACCGUCAGCUAAGGGGAAGGGAGCUCCCACAGCUCUCUGAGUCGGCCCGUAAUUCAUAUAAUUCUUUUAUGUUACUAUAGACUAUUGUAAUACUGAGGUUAAAAUACUUAUUGAAAUACUUGUGAUUGCCUAAUAAUUUUUUUUUUGCCUGCUUAAGUGGUAAUACAUAGUUAAACCAGUAUUGCAAAAUAACAUAUGUCUUAUGUAGAGCACUGUCAUGGAUAUGUUAUGCCAAUGAGUAAAAUUUUAUGUCCAAGCACUUAAAAUGAUCAAAUACUAUAGUUAAGGCUGUCAUACUGUUUAUGUACUGCUAAAAAGAAAACAAAAUACAAUUUCAGAGCAGACAGAUUUUUUUUUUAUAUAUAAAUAGCCCAAAUAAUAGGUUAAUUUCAAUUAGACUUCCUGACUUGUUGGUGAUUGCUGCAUUCAGUAUGAAUCUCUCAGGAUUCCACACAGGAUCAUGUGUUUAUUAUGAUAAUUUCUAUGAUUUCUAUGUGUGCUCUCCACAAAUAUGUUGGACAAAACAUAGUUUACCUUUUUAACUGGUACCAUACGGUUACUUUCUAACUCCUUUAACUUCAGUUCAAACUUGGUUGAAUAAAAUGGGCAUUCCUGAACAAUAA